rnacentral:rRNA from 1 species
AGUGAAGCGGCAGGAGCUCAAAUUUGAAAUCUGGGGCCUUCGGCCUCCGAGUUGUAAUUUGGAGAGGCAUCUUCGGGGGGGAGCGCCGGCCCAAGUUCCUUGGAACAGGACGUCGCAGAGGGUGAGAAUCCCGUGCCAGGCCGGCAGCCUCCUCCCGGGUGAAGGUCCUUCGACGAGUCGAGUUGUUUGGGAAUGCAGCUCCAAGUGGGUGGUAUAUUUCAUCUAAAGCUAAAUACCGGCGGGAGACCGAUAGCGCACAAGUAGAGUGAUCGAAAGAUGAAAAGCACUUUGAAAAUAGAGUCAAAAAGUACGUGAAAUUGUUGAAAGGGAAGCGCUUGAGACCAGACUCAGACCCGGGCAAACACCGCGCCCCCCGGGCCCGUGCAAUUGCCUGGGGCUGGGCCAGCAUCAGUUGGCGUGGCGGGACAAAGGCGGGGGCAAUGUGGCUCCCCUCGGGGAGUGUUAUUAGGCCCCGGCUCAAUGCCGCCGACGUCGACUGAGGACCGCGCCUCGGCUAGGAUGCUGGCUUAAUGGCCUUCAGCGACCCGUCUUGAAACACGGACCAAGGAGUCUAACAUCCAUGCGAGUGUUUGGG